rnacentral:misc_RNA from 1 species
GAUGAAGAACGCAGCGAAAUGCGAUACGUAAUGUGAAUUGCAGAAUUCAGUGAAUCAUCGAAUCUUUGAACGCACAUUGCGCCUGCCAGCACUCUGGCAGGCAUGCCUGUUCGAGCGUCAUUUCAACCAUCAAGCCCUAGGCUUGCGUUGGAGCCCUGCGGAUGCCGCAGGCCCCUAAAAGCAGUGGCGGGCUCGCUAUCACACCGAGUGCAGUAGAUUACUCUUCGCUCAGGGCGUGUGGCGGGUUCCAGCCGUGAAACCCCCUACUUCUCAAGGUUGACCUCGGAUCAGGUAGGAAUACCCGCUGAACUUAAGCAUAUCAAUAAGCGGAGGA